rnacentral:rRNA from 1 species
GAGCUCCCAUGGCGCCUGUUUAUCAAAAACAUGGUUUUUUGGGUUGAUAAAAAAUCUAACCUGCUCAGUGCUUAGGUAAAUGGCCGCAGUAAUUUGACUGUGCUAAGGUAGCAUAAUCAUUUGUCUUUUAAAUGGAGGCUGGUAUGAAAGGUUGGCCGAAGGAAAAGCUGUCUCCUUAUUAAUUAAUGAAUUUAAUUAGCCUGUAAGAAUGCUGGUAUGCCUCUGAAGGACGAUAAGACCCUAUUGAGCUUGAUUUAAUAAUUUUACUGGGGCGGUAGUAUAAGAGGAAGAUCUUAUUUAUAACAAUAAAAUAUUUGGGACCCAAUAUUAUUGAGGACAAGAUAAAGUUACCAUAGGGAUAACAGCUUAAUUUUCUUUUAAAGUCCUUAUUUAAGGGAAAGAUUGAGACCUCGAUGUUGAAUUAAAAUGUCUUUUUGGCGAAGAAGUUAGGAAAGAAAGUCUGUUCGACUUUUAAAUUUUUACGUGAUCUGAGUUCAGACCGGCCAUGGGAA